AAAUUGAAGAGUUUGAUCAUGGCUCAGAUUGAACGCUGGCGGCAGGCCUAACACAUGCAAGUCGAACGGUAACAGGAAGCAGCUUGCUGCUUCGCUGACGAGUGGCGGACGGGUGAGUAAUGUCUGGGAAACUGCCUGAUGGAGGGGGAUAACUACUGGAAACGGUGGCUAAUACCGCAUAACGUCGCAAGACCAAAGAGGGGGACCUUCGGGCCUCUUGCCAUCAGAUGUGCCCAGAUGGGAUUAGCUAGUUGGUGAGGUAACGGCUCACCAAGGCGACGAUCCCUAGCUGGUCUGAGAGGAUGACCAGCCACACUGGAACUGAGACACGGUCCAGACUCCUACGGGAGGCAGCAGUGGGGAAUAUUGCACA
rnacentral:rRNA from 1 species